rnacentral:rRNA from 1 species
UACGAAGGGGGCUAGCGUUGCUCGGAAUUACUGGGCGUAAAGGGCGCGUAGGCGGAUACUUAAGUCGGGGGUGAAAGCCCGGGGCUCAACCUCGGAAUUGCCUUCGAUACUGGGUAUCUUGAGUUCGGGAGAGGUGAGUGGAACUCCGAGUGUAGAGGUGAAAUUCGUAGAUAUUCGGAAGAACACCAGUGGCGAAGGCGACUCACUGGCCCGAUACUGACGCUGAUGCGCGAAAGCGUGGGGAGCAAACAGG